rnacentral:rRNA from 1 species
GGUUACUUAAGAAAAGGACCUUAGUCCAACCCAAUUUUUUUAUAAUAUAUCAAGAUGAAAAUUAAAAUUUGGAGUGAUUCAAACAAGGUACAGCCUGUUUGAACUAGGACACAACCUCCGCAAACGGGUAAUUAAAUUUUUACGUAAUAAAGUAGGCCUAAAAGCAGCCACCUUCAAAAAGCGUCAAAGCCUAUUUACAAAUCAAUUGAAUCCCCCUAAUAACUAAAAACCCUUAAUCUGUAUUAAGUAAUUCUAUAAAAUUAUAGAACCUAUUAUGUUAAAACUAGUAACAAGAAUCAGAACUUCUCCUAAAUGUAAAUGUAAAUCAGACUGGACAAACCACUGAUUUUUAACACCUUGAAACUAAAGUAACAACUAAUCAAGAAAAUUUUACCUCAAAUAGUGUUAACCUGACACCAGAACAUUUCUAGACAGAUUAAAAGGAAAAGAAGGAACUCGGCAAAUAUUAACCUCGCCUGUUUACCAAAAACAUCGCCUCUUGGUACAUAUAAGAGGUCCAGCCUGCCCAGUGACUCUGUUCAACGGCCGCGGUAUCCUAACCGUGCGAAGGUAGCGUAAUCACUUGUUCUUUAAAUAAGGACUAGUAUGAAUGGCAUUACGAAGGUUAUACUGUCUCCUUUUCCCAAUCAGUGAAACUAAUCUUCCCGUGAAGAAGCGGGAAUAAAUAUAUAAGACGAGAAGACCCUAUGGAGCUUAAAACUUCCAACAAUUAUCUUUUUUAUACCAACCUAUAGGCUAUAAAAUCAACUUUUAUAAUAUGUCUGUUAGUUUUCGGUUGGGGUGACCGCGGAGUAAAAUUUAUCCUCCGCAAUGAAUUAAAUACUUUAAGCAAAAAACUACAAUUUUAUGCAUCAAAAAAUUGACAUUAUUGACCCAAUAUUUUGAUCAACGAACCAAGUUACCCUAGGGAUAACAGCGCAAUCCCCCUCAAGAGCUCAUAUCGACAGGCGGGUUUACGACCUCGAUGUUGGAUCAGGAUAUCCCAGUGGUGCAGCCGCUACUAAAGGUUCGUUUGUUCAACGAUUAAAAUCCU